UGCCAAGGAUUCCACUGGAUACUUCAAUUCCCAUUAAAAAAAAAAAUCCCCAGAAAAGAACUUGAAUGAUGCAUAUUGUAAGGCACCAGUGGUGAUAUGUGAGUAAUCCUGGGUUUGGGCUGCCGUAGCAAGCUGCCUGCCUGGCCAGGAUGUUGCUCAGCCCUGUGUGCUCAGAGCUGUGCGGUGCUCUCGGCAGUGCCUGGAGCUGACUUUCCAAGCACAGAACUGCUAACGUGUGGAGAAAGCCCCUUUCGUACAUCUUUGCUCACUUACCGCUCCUCUGCCAAUUAAAACUAAAUGAAAACCAUAAUGCCUUAAAAUCUGGGAAACAUCCAGAGGAGGAAUUAUGAAAUCAUUUCCUCUUGGUGCAAACCAGACUCAGCUAUGUCCAGCAACAUCCAGUCUUGGAGCAAGGACACCUAGAGCGUCAAUGGCUGUAAGCACACGUGGGCUUUUGAGCCAUCACACUUGGCAAAAUGGGACUGAUCUUACCCAGUGCCCACAGACAGACUCCAGCUGAAGCCAAAUAUCUCCUGCAAUCAUUUCUGUUCCAUCAUCUUAUACCUUGAAUUUAUGGCAUUGAGCUGGUUUCCUCUCCACUGUUUUUAAGGGGAGCCUGGAUGCGUAGCUCAGAUGGAGAUAUCUGCACAUGAUAUGUUUGCAGUCAGAAUGAUGAGUCUGUCCCUGCGUAUCCUCAGGGGAGUCUAUGCUGUCAGAAGACAAUAUGCCGUCACAACCAGCAAUCCCACAACAGCACUGGGAAACUGCCAGUACAAUGUGAAAUCAAGUUCAUAGAAUCCAACUGUCCUACACGCUCUGAGAAACGUCACCUAAGUGAUGAGAAGCUAACCAAACACUGAAGUCAGAUGCUCUAUGUGUAAACACAUUUAAGAAAAUGUUUCCAGCCUGAGGAUGGAUGUGGACUAUUGUUGCAGCAGCUAUAAUGUGUGACUACCUGUGCCAAAGAUAACAGAUGCUCUCAGUGCUGGUUGCUGUAUAUAGAAUACUUACUUAGGCUUUAUUACAACUUGGAAGAAUGUCAUGUCCUAAAUGGAAACUAGUUAUUUCUAAGUAAGUUGGUUGUUUCUCAACUUCUGAAGCAAAAAACGCUGAAAUGGUAGGGGACAGACAUUUAGCUUGAAAAAAGUAUUUAAAAAAUGGUGAAUUAGACUGUAUUGUAUUGCUUCAGAUGAAUGUAGAUACUGAAAACAAACCAAAGAAUAAAAAAAGUUGGAAACAGUCAAAUAAACAUCCUCCAUGAUGACA